AAUCAACGCUGGCGGCGUGCCUCAGACAUGCAAGUCGAACGAUUAAAGCCCUCUUCGGAGAGUGCAUAGAGUGGCGCACGGGUGAGUAACACGUAAGUAAUCUACCUUCGAGUGGGGAAUAACGUCCGGAAACGGACGCUAAUACCGCAUAAUGCAGCGGCAUCGUAAGAUGACAGUUGUUAAAGAUUUAUCGCUUGAAGAGGAGCUUGCGGCAGAUUAGCUAGUUGGUAAGGUAAUGGCUUACCAAGGCUACGAUCUGUAACCGGUCUUAGAGGACGGUCGGUCACACUGACACUGAAUAACGGGUCAGACUCCUACGGGAGGCAGCAGUCGGGAAUUUUGGGCAAUGGGCGAAAGCCUGACCCAGCAACGCCGCGUGAAGGAUGAAGUAUUUCGGUAUGUAAACUUCGAAAGAAUAGGAAGAAUAAAUGACGGUACUAUUUAUAAGGUCCGGCUAACUACGUGCCAGCAGCCGCGGUAAU
rnacentral:rRNA from 1 species